AGAGUGAACGCUGGCGGCAGGCCUAAUACAUGCAAGUCGAACGGCAGCACGGCAGAGCUUGCUCUGUGGGUGGCGAGUGGCGGACGGGUGAGGAAUACAUGGGAAUCUGCCCAGUCGUGGGGGAUAACGUAGGGAAACUUACGCUAAUACCGCAUGCGCCCUUCGGGGGAAAGCCGGGGACCUUCGGGCCUGGCGCGAUUGGAUGAGCCCAUGUCGGAUUAGCUAGUUGGCGGGGUAACGCCCACCAAGGCGACGAUCCGUAGCUGGUCUGAGAGGAUGAUCAGCCACACUGGAACUGAGACACGGUCCAGACUCCUACGGGAGCAGCAGUAGGGAAUAUGGAACAGUGGGCAA
rnacentral:rRNA from 1 species